UGGGGAAUUUUGGACAAUGGGCGCAAGCCUGAUCCAGCCAUGCCGCGUGCGGGAAGAAGGCCUUCGGGUUGUAAACCGCUUUUGUCAGGGAAGAAAUCUUCUGAGUUAAUACCUCGGGAGGAUGACGGUACCUGAAGAAUAAGCACCGGCUAACUACGUGCCAGCAGCCGCGGUAAUACGUAGGGUGCAAGCGUUAAUCGGAAUUACUGGGCGUAAAGCGUGCGCAGGCGGUUUUGUAAGACAGAGGUGAAAUCCCCGGGCUCAACCUGGGAACUGCCUUUGUGACUGCAAGGCUUGAGUGCGGCAGAGGGGGGAUGGAAUUCCGCGUGUAGCAGUGAAAUGCGUAGAUAUGCGGAGAAACACCGAUGGCGAAGGCAAUCCCCUGGGCCUGCACUGACGCUCAUGCACGAAAGCGUGGGGAGCAAACAGGAUUAGAUACCCUGGUAGUCCACGCCCUAAAACGAUGUCAGCUGGUUGUUGGGAAGGUUCCUCCUCAGUAACGUAGCUAACGCGUGAAGUUGACCGCCUGGGGAGUACGGCCGCAAGGUUGAAAACUCAAAGGAAUUGACGGGGUCA
rnacentral:rRNA from 1 species